UACAGAGGGUGCUAGCGUUGUUCGGAAUCAUUGGGCGUAAAGGGCGUGUAGGCGGUUUGUUAAGUCAUGUGUGAAAUCCCUCGGCUCAACCGGGGAACGACGCAUGAAACUGGCAAGCUAGAGUACCAAAGAGGGGGGUGGAAUUCCCGGUGUAGCGGUGAAAUGCGCAGAUAUCGGGAGGAACACCGGUGGCGAAGGCGGUUCUCUGGGCCUGUGCUGACGCUGAGGAGCGAAAGCGUGGGGAGCGAACAGG
rnacentral:rRNA from 1 species